UCAGAGGCGAUGAAGGGCGUGCUAAUCUGCGAUAAGCGCCGGUAAGGUGAUAUGAACCGUUAUAACCGGCGAUACCCGAAUGGGGAAACCCAGUGUGAUUCGUCACACUAUCAUUAACUGAAUCCAUAGGUUAAUGAGGCGAACCGGGGGAACUGAAACAUCUAAGUACCCCGAGGAAAAGAAAUCAACCGAGAUUCCCCCAGUAGCGGCGAGCGAACGGGGAGGAGCCCAGAGCCUGAAUCAGCAUGUGUGUUAGUGGAAGCGUCUGGAAAGGCGCGCGAUACAGGGUGACAGCCCCGUACACAAAAGCGCAUGUGCUGUGAGCUCGAUGAGUAGGGCGGGACACGUGGUAUCCUGUCUGAAUAUGGGGGGACCAUCCUCCAAGGCUAAAUACUCCUGACUGACCGAUAGUGAACCAGUACCGUGAGGGAAAGGCGAAAAGAACCCCGGCGAGGGGAGUGAAAAAGAACCUGAAACCGUGUACGUACAAGCAGUGGGAGCACAGGUUUACCUGUGUGACUGCGUACCUUUUGUAUAAUGGGUCAGCGACUUAU
rnacentral:rRNA from 1 species